GUCAGAUGUCAGCCCCUGGCUUCCCGCCUUACCGUAGAGGGAUACUCGACAGACUGGACAGAUCACUCAUGCUGGGGGAAGCCAGGUGUCAUGUCUUGGGGAAUCCAGGUGUUACGUCUUGAGGACAGGCUGUCAGACCUGUGCAUAGGCCCAUGUGGCGAGAAACUAGACCCUCAGCUCAAGACACUGAAAGAAACCUCAUGAAACAACUUGAAGCUCUGAACCUGAACCACCGA
rnacentral:lncRNA from 1 species